UACGUAGGGUGCGAGCGUUAAUCGGAAUUACUGGGCGUAAAGCGUGCGCAGGCGGUUUUGUAAGCCAGAUGUGAAAGCCCCGGGCUCAACCUGGGAAUUGCAUUCGAGACUGUGUGGCUAGGGUGCGGAAGAGGGAAGCGGAAUUUCCGGUGUAGCGGUGAAAUGCGUAGAUAUCUGGAGGAACACCGGUGGCGAAGGCAGCCCCCUGGGCUAACACUGACGCUCAUGCACGAAAGCGUGGGGAGCAAACAGG
rnacentral:rRNA from 1 species